rnacentral:rRNA from 1 species
GGAAGGGAUAAACGCUGAAGGCAUCUAAGCGUGAAGCCCCCCUCAAGAUGAGAUAUCCCAUUCUUUAAAGAAGUAAGACCCCUUGAAGACGACGAGGUAGAUAGGGCAGAGGUGGAAGUGCAGCAAUGUAUGGAGCUGACUGCUACUAAUCGGUCGAGGGCUUGACCUGAG